GACCAGGGCUGCCUAGGCUGCAGCCCCGGUCGUGGCCCAAUAACGCGAGAAGGUAUUCAUCCGCAGCCUAGCUUCGCUAGUCGCUACGGGGUACAUCGCGCUACCCUAGUCCAGUGUCCAGCCGCCGCCGAGCACAUCCAGACGCCACACGCCAGAGCCGCUCAGGCUCAGCCGCAGACCUGCAGCGCAGCGCAGUUGGCAGUUGCCGUCUUGCCGACUUGCCGGCCGCCGCACGCCGCCACCGCCCAGGCCGCCAGCGCCAGGCGCGUCUUCCGCGCGGUCUUCUGGCGAGCUGAGCAGGCCGCCACCGCCCAGGCCCGACCGACGACUGCUGGCGAGCUGAGCAGGCUGCAGGCGAGCCGCGAGCAGGCAGAGCAGAGCAGAGCGGUGAGCACUAAGCAGCGAUUAGCAGAGCAUAGCAGCGAGCAGCCGGAAUAAGAUGGAUAAAUUUCUCAUCAAGAACCAGAAGAAAGAUGAUUCUAUUUCUAAAACAAUUAGGACAAAUGAGAGCCGUGUAGAACAAAAGAGACCACAUAUUGAGCUAGAUAUGAACAAAAGUGGCAACUGCAACUGUUGAGAGAGUUUUUUCUGCUAUGAACAUUAUCAAGACUGAAAGAAGAAAUAAAAUGGGUGAUGAAUGGAUGAAUAACAGCAUGCUAUGCUAUAUUGAGCGGGAUAUGUUUGUAGAAAUUGAAGAUGAAAAGAUUUUGAAGCAUUUUCAAGGCUUAAGAACUCGGAAGAUAAAUUAACCUCGCAGCAUCAACUCAUGAACGUGACUGCUCCUAGGAUCGGAAACACAGGCGAGACGAGGGGGGGCGCUGCAUGCCCUGCAUGCCCUGGGUGAUCGAGGUCUCGUUUUCUGAUCCCCAGCUCCAGCUGCGCGCUGAGCCUACCGCUUUUGAUUUUCCUGGACCCCGGACGGAUCCGCACUUGCUUUGCUUGCUUUCC